UGCGUCUUUAAAUAAGAUAGUUCUUAUAGAUAGGUGCAAAAAAUAAAUCCUCUUUUGCAGCCUAGAACUCAUCAUUGCUCAAUAUGAGUUUUGAUAAUACCGAAAGGAAUACU
rnacentral:snoRNA from 1 species